CUUUAACCCUGACGUUGUGGUCUGUCUGCACUGAAACUUCGCUAAAGUUGUGAUUUAGCCUACAAAACACAACUCAGGGACUAAUAAUGAUUCAGUUAAUUACUUCAUAGUGUUUUAAAAGGGCCACAAAGUCUUAAAGCUGUGCUGGUAUUCACUGUCCAUCACCUUUUCUAAAAUGUGCUACACAACAGUGUCCAAUAUGAACAGCAUAUCCGGAUGGAAAUGGACGAGCAUGGUAAUAAAAUGAACAGCAAUG